rnacentral:rRNA from 1 species
CAGCCGCCGCGGUAAUACCGGCGGCCCGAGUGGCGGUCACUAUUAUUGGGCUUAAAGCGUCCGUAGCCGGGUUGGGAAGUCCUCCGGGAAAUCUGGCCGCUUAACGGUCAGAAUGCCGGAGGAUACUCCCAGCCUAGGGGGCGGGGGAGGCCGAGGGGAUUCCCGGGGUAGGGGGGAAAUCCUAUAAUCCCGGGAGCACCACCUGUGGAGAAGGCGCUCGGCUGGAACGCGUCCGACGGUGAGGGACGAAGGCCAGGGGAGCAAACCGGAUUAGAUACCCGGGUAGUCCUGGCUGUAAACGAUGCGGACUUUGUGUCGGACAAGCUAUGAGCUUGUCCGGUGCCGGAGGGAAACCGUUAAGUCCGCCGCCUGGGGAGUACGGCCGCAAGGCUGAAACUUAAAGGAAUUGGCGGG